rnacentral:rRNA from 1 species
UACAGAGGUGCCAAGCGUUAGGCGGAAUCACUGGGCUUAAAGCGCGCGUAGGCGGAUGUUUAAGUGUCUUGUGAAAUCCCACGGCUCAACCGUGGAACUGCUUGGCAUACUGGCGGUCUUGAGCAACCUAGGGGCGAGCGGAACAAAUGGUGGAGCGGUGAAAUGCGUAGAUAUCAUUUGGAACGCCAAUGGUGAAAACAGCUCGCUGGGGGUUUGCUGACGCUGAGACACGAAAGCCAGGGGAGCAAACGGG